ACAGAGGAAUAUACAUUUAUAUCUUUUAAUAGAAUCGAUAUGUUUUGUAUUUUGAAUUAAAUAGCUAGAGCUUUUGAGACAUAGACUUUAUGUUCAAAUGGUUUAUCACUAGUAAUUAAACAAGGGCUUGUGUCAGAAUGUGUUUUUAGAUUACCUGUAGAUAUUUUUUUAUAGCAACAUACUGCCACUGAUACAGCAUUGCCAGCAUUUUACAGCAUACAUAGGCAUUAACAUUGCUUUCUUUAUUUCCAAAAUAUAUGUGACAUUAUGAUGCAAACUUUUCUUUUGAAGUCUAGCGGUGUCAAAAAUCAAAAGAAUGGUAAAUUUUUUGCAAAAUGUGCUAUUGUUACUAUUUUUUUGCCUUUUGAUACUAUACAUACAUGUUCAUUUGCCUCUUUUAUGCCAAAUACUGGAUGCAAACAUUUAGGCAGUUCAUUUUUAUUGUGUGCAAUACAUGUAUUUCUAAUUCUAUUAUAGUACUUAAAUGUUGUUUACUCGUUUUUAAUAGCACCUUGCUCAUAAUUUUUUGUACAAAUUUAAGAAUAUUAAAGUGAAUAAUCUUCUUCCAAAACUCAUUCCAUUUACUGGUACAUGAAAAAAAUUCUAUUUUAAUGUUAUAUUAUCAAAUACAUGUAGGUUGUUUCAUAGAUUUGAUGAAAUUGUUAAAAGUUUUAUUGCACUUUUGGUUGGUGCACUUUUAUAACAGAACUGGUAACUGGUAGAAGUACAUUGUUGUAGCGUUCUUUCUAGUAUAUCUGGAAAAAUAUAUGUAUUUAUUGUUGUACUACCGUGGUAUUUUAAAAUGUAUUAAUUGUUUUACAAAUGGAAUAGGAAUUCCAAUAUGUUAAUUAAAGAUUCAAUGGAAAUUUAAAUCAAUUUAUAGAAUGUAUUUUUAUUUAUUUUUUUGUUAUCCAACUUUAGUUUCCAUUCUUCUAUGUGUCUUUCUUGCGUUGUUUUUUUUGUUGUGUGCCAUAUGAUGUACAAUCACCCAGCCAUUUUGUUGUUGUUGUAAUUUAUUUUUUUCAUUUAAUAUAUUUCAAUUUUU
rnacentral:sRNA from 1 species